GGCCUGUUGAAGUUGAUUUCCGGUCAGACCUGCCCAAUGAAAAUUAAAUGGCUGCGGUAUAUUGACCGUACAAAGGUAGCAUAAUCAUUAGUUUUUUAAUUGAAAGCUUGUAUGAAAGGUUUAAUGAGAAAAUGACUGUCUCUGGAGAAAUUUAUUAGAAUUUUAUUUUUAAGUGAAAAAGCUUAGAUAAUCAUAGAAGACGAGAAGACCCUAUAGAGUUUUAUAGUAAUUUAUAUAAGCAAGUUAAAGAAAAAGGAUGUACUUAUAUAAAUUAAUUAUUUUAUUGGGGUGAUAGAAAAAUUUAAAAAACUUUUUUUAAUAAUAUGAACAUUAAUUUAUGGAAAGAUGAUUUUUUUUAAAGAUUAGAAGAGCAAAUUACCUUAGGGAUAACAGCGUAAUUUUUCUUAGAGUUCUUAUCGAAAGAAAAGAUUGCGACCUCGAUGUUGGAUUAAAAUAAAUACUUGGUGAAGAAGCUGAGUAAUUAGGUCUGUUCGACCUUUAAAAUUUUACAUGAUCUGAGUUUAAACCGGUGUGAG
rnacentral:rRNA from 1 species